rnacentral:rRNA from 1 species
AGUGGCGAACGGGUGCGUAACACGUUGGUGACCUGCCUUGAGGAGGGGGACACCGUGGGAAACCACGGCUAAUACCCGGAUGUCUAAACUUUUAGACAUCCUAAACUAAAGCUCCGGCGCCUUGAGAGGGGCCUGCGGGCUAUCAGCUUGUUGGUGGGGUAAUGGCCUACCAAGGCAAAGACGGCUAGGGGGCGUGAGAGCGCGACCCCCCACAAUGGAACUGAGACACGGUCCAUACUCCUACGGGAGGCAGCAGUGAGGAAUAUUGCGCAAUGGGGGCAACCCUGACGCAGCAACGCCGCGUGAACGAUGAAGGCUUUCGGGUCGUAAAGUUCUUUUCUGAGGGAAGAUAGUGACGGUACCUCAGGAAUAAGUCCCGGCUAACUACGUGCCAGCAGCCGCGGUAAAACGUAGGGGGCGAGCGUUAUCCGGAUUUAUUGGGCGUAAAGGGCACGUAGGCGGCGCUGUAAGUUGGGCGUGAAAGCUCUCGGCUUAACUGAGAGAGGUCGUUCAAAACUGCAGUGCUUGAGGUUGGAAGAGGAGAGUGGAAUUCCCGGUGUAGUGGUGGAAUGCGUAGAUAUCGGGAGGAACACCAGUGGCGAAAGCGACUCUCUGGUUCACACCUGACGCUGAGGUGCGAAAGCGUGGGGAGCGAACGGGAUUAGAUACCCCGGUAGUCCACGCUGUAAACGAUGGAUACUAGGUGUGGGAGGUCGCUGAAGUGUUCAGUGUCGAUACAUAUGCCGUUAAGUAUCCCGCCUGGGGAGUACGACCGCAAGGUUGAAACUCAAAGGAAUUGACGGGGGCCCGCACAAGCGGUGGAGCAUGUGGUUUAAUUCGACGCAACGCGAAGAACCUUACCCGGACUUGACAUCCUUGGGAUCGCCUCUGGAGACAGAGACUUUCUCUUCGGAGACCGAAGUGACAAGUGCUGCAUGGCUGUCGUCAGCUCGUGUCGUGAGAUGUUGGGUUAAGUCCCGCAAAGAGCGCAACCUCUGUCGUUAGUUGCCACCAUUAAGUUGGGCACUUUAGGGGGACUGCCCCGGCAAACGGGGAGGAAGGUGGGGAUGACGUCAAGUCCUCAUGGCCCUUACGUCCGGGGCUACACACGUGCUACAAUGGUAUAGACAGGGGGAAGCUACGCCGCAAGGCCACGCGGAUCCUCAAACUGUAUCUCAGUUCGGAUUGUAGUCUGCAACUCGACUACAUGAAGUUGGAAUCGCUAGUAAUCGCAGAUCAGCACGCUGCGGUGAAUAAGUUCCCGGGCCUUGUACACACCGCCCGUCACACCAUGGAAGUUGUCUUCACU